UGGCUUCCACAAAACUUUGUGCCAUCC
rnacentral:piRNA from 1 species